GCAGUGGUGGUUCAGUGGUAGAAUUCUCGCCUGCCACGCGGGAGGCCCGGGUUCGGUUCCGGCCAUUGCA
rnacentral:tRNA from 1 species